rnacentral:ncRNA from 1 species
AGGAUGGAAGACGUCCUCAGGCCCAACAACACACAGAGGGUUAAGGCUUCAUAGCCUACUUUGUGGCAUCUAACCACUGUUUUCU